rnacentral:rRNA from 1 species
UGAGUUUGAUCCUGGCUCAGGACGAACGCUGGCGGCGUGCCUAACACAUGCAAGUCGAGCGAAUGAAGUUCCUUCGGGAACGGAUUUAGCGGCGGACGGGUGAGUAACACGUGGGCAACCUGCCUCAUAGAGGGGAAUAGCCUUCCGAAAGGGAGAUUAAUACCGCAUAAGAUUGUAGUACCGCAUGGUACAGCAAUUAAAGGAGCAAUCCGCUAUGAGAUGGGCCCGCGGCGCAUUAGCUAGUUGGUGAGGUAACGGCUCACCAAGGCGACGAUGCGUAGCCGACCUGAGAGGGUGAUCGGCCACAUUGGGACUGAGACACGGCCCAGACUCCUACGGGAGGCAGCAGUGGGGAAUAUUGCACAAUGGGCGAAAGCCUGAUGCAGCGACGCCGCGUGAGGGAUGACGGCCUUCGGGUUGUAAACCUCUUUCAGCAGGGAAGAAGCGAAAGUGACGGUACCUGCAGAAGAAGCACCGGCUAACUACGUGCCAGCAGCCGCGGUAAUACGUAGGGUGCGAGCGUUGUCCGGAAUUAUUGGGCGUAAAGAGCUUGUAGGCGGUUUGUCGCGUCUGCUGUGAAAAUCCGGGGCUCAACCCCGGACUUGCAGUGGGUACGGGCAGACUAGAGUGUGGUAGGGGAGACUGGAAUUA